AAGAAACUUGAUCAAUUGUAAAGUGUAGCCGAUAUUGGUUGUAUAAUUCGGAUACACCUUCCGAUCAUAUCCAUCGAGAUUGAUCGAAUCCCUACGCUUUGAGUCUAUCGUAUCUUCUUUAUGAUCUACGUUUCCAUUAUUACAUUUUGUUUUAUUUCCAUUACAUAUCUAAGUGACUAAUCGUCCUAGUUGUUUAACAUAUAAAUAAAAAACACACCAUUCCUUC
rnacentral:lncRNA from 1 species